rnacentral:rRNA from 1 species
GUGAACGCUGGCGGUAGGCCUAACACAUGCAAGUCGAACGGCAGCACAGAGGAGCUUGCUCCUUGGGUGGCGAGUGGCGGACGGGUGAGGAAUACAUCGGAAUCUACCCUGUCGUGGGGGAUAACGUAGGGAAACUUACGCUAAUACCGCAUACGACCUUCGGGUGAAAGAGGUGGGUCGCAAGACCUCUCGCGAUUGGAUGAGCCGCUGUCGGAUUAGCUAGUUGGCGGGGUAAAAGCCCACCAAGGCGACGAUCCGUAGCUGGUCUGAGAGGAUGAGCAGCCCCAAUGGAACUGAGACACGGUCCAGACUCCUACGGGAGGCAGCAGUGGGGAAUAUUGGACGAUGGGCGCAAGCCUGAUCCAGCCAUACCGCGUGGGUGAAGAAGGCCUUCGGGUUGUAAAGCCCUUUUGUUGGGAAAGAAAAGCGACCGGCUAAUACCCGGUUGUUCUGACGGUACCCAAAGAAUAAGCACCGGCUAACUUCGUGCCAGCCGCCGCGGUAAAAC